CACAAUCUGACGCAAAAAUGCAGGAGUCUAGGUCCACCGUCAAUCCCGACGGCACCCGACGGUCCGACACCGUCUAACUCUACUGUAACAACACACUCGACUCCUCAGCGCGAGCGUAAACUCAACCUACACUCGUCUAAGUAUCCACCUUGCACUAACAGCAGUGAUACAGAAAUCUGGGUCACCGUCAACCUCGACGGCACCCGACAGCACGAAACAGUCUACACACUACUGUAAAACAAUCUCGGCAUCCCAGCACGAGCGUAAACUCAUCCUACACUAAUCUGGGUAUCCCUCGCGCACAAACAGCGGUGAUACAAAUUAAAAUCAACUCAUAAAGCUAAAUCUGGUAACUUUCAGAAAAUGACAGUGUAAG
rnacentral:lncRNA from 1 species